rnacentral:lncRNA from 1 species
CUAGAGCCGCUAUACUAUAGUAGCUUUUUCUUUGCUACCCUAGUAUAUGGUAUAAUAGGUUAUAAAUUUUGUUGAUUACUCCCUCAAACAAGGAGCACCAGCUAGACAUGAAUCAGCUGAGACACCAAUUGGGCACGAAUCAAAAGUCAUCAUUAAUAGGUAAGACAUGGGAAUUGUGUGCUAUAGCCAACCUUGAAAGGUGGCCAGCUACCACAUUCUCCACCCCUUUCUUGUCUCUGAUUUGGAGAUCGAACUCUUGUAAUAAAAGAAUCCAUCUAAUCAACCUUGCUUUUGCAUCUU